AACCAGACUCCUACGGGAGGCAGCAGUGGGGAAUAUUGGGCAAUGGGCGCAAGCCUGACCCAGCAAUGCCGCGUGAAGGAAGAAGGCUUUCGGGUUGUAAACUUCUUUGACAGGGGAAGAGCAGAAGACGGUACCCUGAAAACAAGCCACGGCUGACUACGUGCCAGCAGCCGCGGUAAUACGUAGGUGGCAAGCGUUAUCCGGAUUUACUGGGUGUAAAGGGCGUGUAGCCGGGCUGACAAGUCAGAUGUGAAAUCCGGGGGCUCAACCCCCGAACUGCAUUUGAAACUGUUGGUCUUGAGUAUCGGAGAGGCAGGCGGAAUUCCUAGUGUAGCGGUGAAAUGCGUAGAUAUUAGGAGGAACACCAGUGGCGAAGGCGGCCUGCUGGACGACAACUGACGGUGAGGCGCGAAAGCGUGGGGAGCAAACAGGAUUAGAUACCCCAGUAAAC
rnacentral:rRNA from 1 species